UGACCUCAAAUCAGGUAAGAAUGCCCGCUG
rnacentral:rRNA from 1 species